ACUUAAAUAAUUUAAUAAAAAUAUUGAUUUGUGGAGUCAAAAAUAUGAUGAAAUCAUUUUAGGUC
rnacentral:tRNA from 1 species